GCCGGGGAGAACAGGCUGAUACCGCCCAAGAGUGCACAUCGACGGCGGUGUUUGGCACCGCGAUGUCGGCUCAUCACAGCCUGGGGCUGUAGCCGGUCCCAAGGGUAUGGCUGUUCGCCAUUUAAAGUGGUACGCGAGCUGGGUUCAGAACGUCGUGAGACAGUUCGGUCCCUAUCUGCGGUGGGCGUUGGAGAUUUGAGAGGAUCUGUCCUUAGUACGAGAGGACCGGGAUGGACGAACCUCUGGUGUUCCGGUUGUCAUGCCAAUGGCAUUGCCGGGUAGCCAAGUUCGGACGGGAUAACCGCUGAAAGCAUCUAAGCGGGAAACCCACCUCAAGAUGAGAUCUCCCCGGGAGUUCGACUCCCCUGAAGGGCCGUGGUAGACCACCACGUUGAUAGGCUCCAUGUGUAAGCGCCGUAAGGCGUUGAGCUAAGGAGUACUAAUUGCCCGUGUGGCUUGACCAUAUAACACCCAA
rnacentral:rRNA from 1 species